UACCAGCACCCCGAGUGGUCGGGACGUUUUAUUGGGCCUAAAGCAUCCGUAGCCGGUUCUACAAGUCUUCCGUUAAAUCCAACUGCUUAACAGGUGGGCUGCGGAAGAUACUAUAGAGCUAGGAGGCGGGAGAGGCAAGCGGUACUCGAUGGGUAGGGGUAAAAUCCGUUGAUCCAUUGAAGACCACCAGUGGCGAAGGCGGCUUGCCAGAACGCGCUCGACGGUGAGGAUGAAAGCUGGGGGAGCAACCGG
rnacentral:rRNA from 1 species